GUGAAUUGCAUGAUAGAAAAGGUCAAAAACUCACCACGAAGAAAGAUAUUUUAGGUCUCACACUUGAAAAAAAGACUAAACAACAAGAGGCGUCGCCCCGUCAGAUGGCCUGGGUUGCAGCGGUGAUAUGCAAAAUCAUCAUAUUUGCCAACAUAUCUCCGGUUAUGUUCGUUUACCCUCGACAUUUUCAUAAAGUUAGGCUAGGUGUGACUAAACAGUAGCGGAAACACAUUGCAGCCAGCUGAGACGAUGACCCACCAGGCUGGAGGAG